UGGGGAAUAUUGCACAAUGGGCGCAAGCCUGAUGCAGCCAUGCCGCGUGUAUGAAGAAGGCCUUCGGGUUGUAAAGUACUUUCAGUCGGGAGGAAGGUGGUAAGGUUAAUAACCUUGGCAAUUGACGUUACCGACAGAAGAAGCACCGGCUAACUCCGUGCCAGCAGCCGCGGUAAUACGGAGGGUGCAAGCGUUAAUCGGAAUUACUGGGCGUAAAGCGCACGCAGGCGGUUGAUUGAGUCAGAUGUGAAAUCCCCGGGCUUAACCCGGGAAUUGCAUCUGAUACUGGUCAGCUAGAGUCUUGUAGAGGGGGGUAGAAUUCCAUGUGUAGCGGUGAAAUGCGUAGAGAUGUGGAGGAAUACCGGUGGCGAAGGCGGCCCCCUGGACAAAGACUGACGCUCAGGUGCGAAAGUGUGGGGAGCAAACAGG
rnacentral:rRNA from 1 species